rnacentral:rRNA from 1 species
UACAGAGGUCUCAAGCGUUGUUCGGAUUCAUUGGGCGUAAAGGGUGCGUAGGCGGCGCGGCAAGUCGGGCGUGAAAUCUCGGAGCUUAACUCCGAAACUGCAUUCGAUACUGCCGUGCUUGAGGACUGGAGAGGAGACUGGAAUUUACGGUGUAGCGGUGAAAUGCGUAGAUAUCGUAAGGAAGACCGGUGGCGAAGGCGGGUCUCUGGACAGUUCCUGACGCUGAGGCACGAAGGCCAGGGGAGCAAACGGG